rnacentral:rRNA from 2 species
AAACUGCGAAUGGCUCAUUAAAUCAGUUAUCGUUUAUUUGAUAGUACCUUACUACAUGGAUAACCGUGGUAAUUCUAGAGCUAAUACAUGCUAAAAACCCCGACUCACGAAGGGGUGUAUUUAUUAGAUAAAAAACCAAUGCCCUUUGGGCUUCAUGGUGAAUCAUAAUAACUUAACGAAUCGCAUGGCCUUGCGCCGGCGAUGGUUCAUUCAAAUUUCUGCCCUAUCAACUUUCGAUGGUAGGAUAGUGGCCUACCAUGGUAUCAACGGGUAACGGGGAAUUAGGGUUCUAUUCCGGAGAGGGAGCCUGAGAAACGGCUACCACAUCCAAGGAAGGCAGCAGGCGCGCAAAUUACCCAAUCCCGACACGGGGAGGUAGUGACAAUAAAUACUGAUACAGGGCUCUUUUGGGUCUUGUAAUUGGAAUGAGUACAAUUUAAAUACCUUAACGAGGAACAAUUGGAGGGCAAGUCUGGUGCCAGCAGCCGCGGUAAUUCCAGCUCCAAUAGCGUAUAUUAAAGUUGUUGCAGUUAAAAAGCUCGUAGUUGAACCUUGGGCCUGGCUGGCCGGUCCGCCUCACCGCGUGUACUGGUCCGGCCGGGCCUUUCCUUCUGGGGAACCGCAUGCCCUUCACUGGGCGUGUGUGGGAACCAGGACUUUUACUUUGAAAAAAUUAGAGUGUUCAAAGCAGGCCUUUGCUCGAAUACAUUAGCAUGGAAUAAUAGAAUAGGACGUGUGGUUCUAUUUUGUUGGUUUCUAGGACCGCCGUAAUGAUUAAUAGGGAUAGUCGGGGGCAUCUGUAUUCAAUUGUCAGAGGUGAAAUUCUUGGAUUUAUUGAAGACAAACUACUGCGAAAGCAUUUGCCAAGGAUGUUUUCAUUAAUCAGUGAACGAAAGUUAGGGGAUCGAAGACGAUCAGAUACCGUCGUAGUCUUAACCAUAAACUAUGCCGACUAGGGAUCGGGGGGUGUUAUCAUUUUGACCUCCUCGGCACCUUACGAGAAAUCAAAGUC